rnacentral:rRNA from 1 species
UACGUAGGGAGCAAGCGUUGUUCGGAAUUAUUGGGCGUAAAGAGCGCGUAGGCGGUUCGGUAAGUCUGAUGUGAAAUCCCGGAGCUUAACUCCGGAACUGCAUUGGAAACUGCCGGGCUUGAGUGCGGGAGAGGAGAGUGGAAUUCCCAGUGUAGAGGUGAAAUUCGUAGAUAUUGGGAGGAACACCGGUGGCGAAGGCGGCUCUCUGGACCGCAACUGACGCUGAGGCGCGAAAGCUCGGGGAGCAAAC